rnacentral:rRNA from 1 species
AUUGAACGCUGGCGGCGUGCUUAACACAUGCAAGUCGAGCGGUAACAGGCGUAGCAAUACGUGCUGACGAGCGGCGAACGGGUGCGUAAUACAUGGGAAUCUGCCUAGUAGUGGGGAAUAACCCGGCGAAAGCCGGGCUAAUGCCGCAUACGAUCCACGGAUGAAAGCGGGGGACCUUCGGGCCUCGCGCUAUUGGAUGAGCCCAUGUCGGAUUAGCUAGUUGGNGAGGUAACGGCUCACCAAGGCGACGAUCCGUAGCUGGUCUGAGAGGACGGCCAGCCACACUGGGACUGAGACACGGCCCAGACUCCUACGGGAGGCAGCAGUGGGGAAUAUUGGACAAUGGGGUAACCCUGAUCCAGCGACGCCGCGUGUGUGAAGAAGGCCUGC